UAGAAAGCUUCCGUCUGGAUCCCAAAGUUGUUGUCCAUGUGGUGAACAUAUCUCUGUCUCUGCAGAGCAUGAUCAAUAUGCUAAAGCAAGACACAAGGAAGGAUGGUAUAGAAGCGGGGAAUACCCAAAGGUCUCAUUUACAUGCGUUUGGAGAAGAUGUGCGAUCACUGGGUGUUCUACUGAUUUGUAAUGUCAUGAAUAAAUUGUAUUUUUCUUUCUUUUUUUUUCUGCUUAAGAAUAUAUAUGUACCGUUUGAUUCAACAUAUCUGAUCCAACAUGAAUUGAGUCUUUUAUUAGAUCAUUCGUACUGGUCACAUGUUUUAAUUGCAUCGCUCGAGUUAUUUAGCUCUUUGCAGUUUUGUUUAUAAUAGGAGUAAUGGUGUUGGUGACAUUUGGAGCUUAGGAUCAAGUCGUGAGAAAGUUAUUUUCAGAAACAAAUCGUGAGAGAGAGAAAAAAAAGGGUAUUUGGUUUUCAGACUGAUCAAACUUCAGAGUAUGAACCAAGGGCAAGCCUAUGGAGCAUUCAGCAAUGAAAUACAUAUCAUACUUGCUGAGACAAAAAGUUAAGAAUAUCACAAACAGAUAACUGGUUUUAUGUGUGAGAGAGUUUCUUGAGAAUGAAUGUUAUGCUCAACAACCUAGGCUGUAUCACAGGGAUAGUAAUACGGAUGCUCCAUUCAUAUGCUGAAAUAAAUGUUCAGAUUUAGUUUCUCUGAAGUAUUCUGAAGUUGUUGAAUCAGUUUGUUCCCUUUGUUUUUAUUUGAAAGAAAUAAAUACAUUUUUCCUUUAGUUUAACAAAGUCUCAUUUACACAAAUACCUUUGAGAUCAAUAUCCAAAUCGAACCAGCUUAACCCAAACCAAUUUGGUUUUGAUUCAGAGUCGAGUAUAACUUUGGUUCAAUUUAAAAGGUGUUUUUAAACAAAUUCGAUGGUACCGUCAAUCAAGUUCUUGACUUCCCCAAUAAUGUUUGGUAACAAAAAAUUCAACCGAUAAUGUGGAUAUUCAAAAUAUCAAUGAAAAUUAAUGAAAAAAAUAAUAAUUAACAAAUAUUGUUUCAAUCGAUAAACGAAAAACAUGGUACACUGAUAAAUUUCUACGGUUUCAAGUUAGAUAAAUUAAAUAUAUGCAAAAUAUGAUAUAAUUUUAUAAGUAAUAAACUAUUUUUUUAUUUUUUUAUAUAAAUAUAUAGUUUCAUUAAAUCAUAAAUUAAAAUGACUAUAUAAAUUUUAUAUAAACAGAAACAAACAAUUUAUUUUUAUUUUACUAUAAAAUGAUUUUCGUCUCUAAUUUUAUUUUACAUUUCACUAUUUUGUGCUAUUUUAUUGGAUUAUAUUAACAAAUUUUGUAUUCUAUCAUAUGUAUUCAACGAAUACAUAAUAUUUCAAGUAUUCUUAAUAAAAAUAAAUUUAAUAUAUGAUAUUGUGAAUAAAAUAUUUUUUAUACCUUUUAAAUAACAAAAAUAUCUAAAAAAUUAAUAUAAGAGAAAAAUUUCUAUACUAUAAAUUUUAAAAAUAUUAAUUAUUUUAAAAAUAUUAAUUUGCCAAUACAAUUAAAAAGAAAUUUAAGGUUUUUUUGUUGCCAAAAUAACAAAUCCCGCGCGAAGCGCGGGCUUCCUCUAGUUUUAUUAUAAACUUAGACUUAAAAUUUUAUAUAUGAUAAACAAAAUUUUACAUUUUACAUGAGAAACCUUUUAGUAUCACACUUAUCUUUAUGGUCAUUAAAUUUCAAAUUAAACAAAGGACAAUUCUCUCAAAUAGAUUUUUUUUUUUAAGUUUUGUGUCACAAAAAUAGAUUUCAAAAAGUAAAAUGACCAAAAUAAAUUUUUUUAUUUUGAAAUAUUUAAUAUUUUUUAAGUUUUUAAAAUUUGAAAUUAUACCCCUAAAACCCCACCCCUUAACUCUAAACCCUAAACCCUAAAUCAUAAACCUUAAAUCCUAAACCCUAAAUUCUAAACCAUAAACACAAAAACAUACCUCUUAAUAAAAUAUUUUGAUUAUUUUGAUCCUUAAUGAUUAUAUUUGUGACAAAAAAAAAUUAGGUAUAUCCUAGGUAAUUUCUCUUAAACAAAACAUUUGUAAUUAAAAAAUUGGAAAUUUAAGUAUUUUCAAUAUAUCUGAAAACUCAUACACAAGAAAUAGAGUUAUGACAUGGGCGGGCCCACGGUAGAGUGGAGUGUGGCACGUGCCAUGCACUAAACAAUAUAUCUCUUUCGCCCUUAUUGAACUAAUAGCUGUUAUCAGCUCUUUUGGUUAUGAGACUCACCGCAGUGCCCCACGCUUCACGUGUUCGACCUCUGUCAUAUCAUUUUCUGUUUUCUUUUGGUAAUUAGGCUAAAGAUAAAUAAUUGCUAGUAUUUUAGUUUAAUUCAAAUUUCAAGGGCAAGACCAGAGACAAAACUAAUACUAACACAAUAAUUUUAUUCUAUACAUUUUUUUAUUUUAAUCACUUUUCAAAAAUAUAUAUUCUUUUUUAAUUGUGUUGCAAAUUUUUUUAUGAGUGUUUUCCUUUUCUUUUAGUAUAUAGUUUUUCGAAGAAAAAAAUUGUGCGCUUUAUUUUGUUUUAUUUAUUUAGUAUUUAUUAAUUAUAAUACUUAGAUUAAACUAACAGCUAUAUUUAAUAAGCGUUUGUAAUGAAACUAUAUGUGAAUAUAUAAUUUUAUUUUAACAUUACUCAAAAUAAAUACUUAAUAUUAUAAAAUGCUUAUCUUAUGUUAAUAAUAUUUAAUUUAAAUAAUGCAUUAAAUAAGAUGCAAUAAUGAAUGGUUAAUGUCAAUCAUUUUAAAUUUAUUAUAUAAUAAAUCAUUACAGAAAAAAAAUUAUUAUUAUAUAAUUUAUUAAUUAAAUUAUAUUAAAUAUUUUGUAAAAUAUAAUAUUUAUAUUGUCCCAUCUUAAUUUAUUUUCUAGAUCCGCUACUGGGUAUGAGUCUAUAUGUCUUUGGACGAUAGCUACAAUUGCUGAGUUCAGGACAUAUCGCCUUACAAAUACCAACAGUCCCAAACCUUAUGAAAGAAUCAUUGGACGCAAAUAGUGUACGCAUACAUUGAAUCGAUUCUCUACUUUUGAACGCAUUACAACAGUGUGAAUUGUUCCGUUGGGACACAUUUAUCAAGGGAGCGACGCAAUCGUCAAUGUGUUUGCAUUCUGCUGGCAUUGGGUUAUUUGGCAUAGGGCGUCUACCGCGUCUACCGGCUUUAAUCUGAGCCGGAAAUGAUGUCAAGAGUAGAAAGAAGGCAAUGAGAAUAAACGGAAUAAUCUUCAUUAUAGUAUCUGACCAAAUUCACAGCUAAAACCAGAAUAAACUUAUUCAGUUUGUAGAAAGUAAUCUGUUUUCUUCGUUUUGUUUUAUGUGCUUUAAAUAAAGAAAUUGGAAACUUGAAUUAAUUGUUCUUAAUUACCCAUACCCGGAAAUUAGAAAAGUUGGAAUUGAUUCAUAUAAAGAAGGGAAGGUCGACAACAAAAAAGGGAAGGAUGCUAAUUCUAUUUUUAUUUACAAAACAAACGAUUGACUUGUUCAAUAUCUUCAUCCUAAUUUUAGUCAUUUCUUUGGUUUUGUUGCAUAAUGCAAAACUAGCUUAUGCAACAAACGAUUGGACAACAAACUCACUGUGAGUGGAUCAGUAUCUCUGUUCGAUAACAUCCUGUUUCGAAUUUCCAUUUAACCCACGUUGUUCAGAUUAUAGGUUUUACAUCGAGAUCCGUAUGGGCCUUAGUAAAAUACGGUGAAGAAAUUGAAUCAGCGGUCUAGAAGCCUGAUGCCGUCUCUGUAAUCGUUCACAUCCACCGAACUGUGUCUUUUUCUGCAGUGGUAAUGUGUCUGAAAAUGUGCGGCUUGAUGAACGAGUCUUUCUGAUUAUCAGUGACGGGUGAGUGUCUAUGGAUUGACUUUCCCAUGUUUAAGGCUUCAGUGAAUGUGUCAGUGAUUCAUAUUCAACUUACUUUCUCAAAAACAAUCUAGAAAGCUUCCGUCUGGAUCCCAAAAUUGUUGUCCAUGUGGUGAACAUAUCUCUGUCUCUGCAGAGCAUGAUCAAUAUGCUAAAGCAAGACACAAGGAAGGAUGGUAUAGAAGCGGGGAAUACCCAAAGGUCUCAUUUACAUGCGUUUGGAGAAGAUGUGCGAUCACUGGGUGUUCUACUGAUUUGUAAUGUCAUGAAUAAAUUGUAUUUUUCUUUCUUUUUUUUGUCUGCUUAAGAAUAUAUAUGUACCGUUUGAUUCAACAUAUCUGAUCCAACGUGAAUUGAGUCUUUUAUUAGAUCAUUCGUACUGGUCACAUGUUUUAAUUGCAUCGCUCGAGUUAUUUAGCUCUUUGCAGUUUUGUUUAUAAUAGGAGUAAUGGUGUUGGUGACAUUUGGAGCUUAGGAUCAAGUCGUGAGAAAGUUGUUUUCAAAAACAAAUCGUGAGAGAGAAAAAAAAAAGGGUAUUUGGUUUUCAGACUGAUCAAACUUCAGAGUAUGAACCAAGGGCAAGCCUAUGGAGCAUUCAGCAAUGAAAUACAUAUCAUACUUGCUGAGACAAAAAGUUAAGAAUAUCACAAACAGAUAACUGGUUUUAUGUGUGAGAGAGUUUCUUGAGAAUGAAUGUUAUGCUCAACAACCUAGGCUGUAUCACAGGGAUAGUAAUACGGAUGCUCCAUUCAUAUGCUGAAAUAAAUGUUCAGAUUUAGUUUCUCUGAAGUAUUCUGAAGUUGUUGAAUCAGUUUGUUCCCUUUGUUUUUAUUUGAAAGAAAUAAAUACAUUUUUCCUUUAGUUUAACAAAGUCUCAUUUACACAAAUACCUUUGAAAUCAAUACCCAAAUCGAACCAGCUUAACCCAAACCAAUUUGGUUUUGAUUCAGAGUCGAGUAUAACUUCGGUUCAAUUUAAAAGGUGCUUUUAAACAAAUUCGAUGGUACCGUCAAUCAAGUUCUUGACUUCGCCAAUAAUGUUUGGUAACAAAAAAUUCAACCGAUAAUGUGGAUAUUCAAAAUAUCAAUGAAAAUUAAUGAAAAAAAUAAUAAUUAACAAAAUACUGUUUCAAUCGAUAAACGAAAAACAUGGUACACUGAUAAAUUUCUACGGUUUCAAGUUAGAUAAAUUAAAUAUAUGCAAAAUAUGAUAUAAUUUUAUAAGUAAUAAACUAUUUUUUUAAUUUUUUAUAUAAAUAUAUAGUUUCAUUAAAUCAUAAAUUAAAAUGACUAUAUAAAUUUUAUAUAAACAGAAACAAACAAUUUAUUUUUAUUUUACUAUAAAAUGAUUUUCGUCUCUAAUUUUAUUUUACAUUUCAUUAUUUUGUGCUAUUUUAUUGGAUUAUAUUAACAAAUUUUGUAUUCUAUCAUAUGUAUUCAACGAAUACAUAAUAUUUCAAGUAUUCUUAAUAAAAAUAGCUGAAAUUCAAAUUUAUAAAAUUUAAUAUAUGAUAUUGUGAAUAAAAUAUUUUUUAUACCUUUUAAAUAACAAAAAUAUCUAAAAAAUUAAUAUAAGAGAAAAAUUUCUAUACUAUAAAUUUUAAAAAUAUUAAUUAUUUUAAAAAUAUUAAUUUGCCAAUACAAUUAAAAAGAAAUUUAAGUUUUUUUGGUUGCCAAAAUAACAAAUCCCGCGCGAAGCGCGGACUUCCUCUAGUUUUAUUAUAAACUUAGACUUAAAAUUUUAUAUAUGAUAAACAAAAUUUUACAUUUUACAUGAGAAACCUUUUAGUAUCACACUUAUCUUUAUGGUCAUUAAAUUUCAAAUUAAACAAAGGACAAUUCUCUCAAAUAGAUUUUUUUUUUAAGUUUUGUGUCACAAAAAUAGAUUUCAAAAAGUAAAAUGACCAAAAUAAUUUUUUUUAUUUUGAAAUAUUUAAUAUUUUUUAAGUUUUUAAAAUUUGAAAUUAUACCCCUAAAACCCCACCCCUUAACUCUAAACCCUAAACCCUAAAUCAUAAACCUUAAAUCCUAAACCCUAAAUUCUAAACCAUAAACACAAAAACAUACCUCUUAAUAAAAUAUUUUGAUUAUUUUGAUCCUUAAUGAUUAUAUUUGUGACAAAAAAAAAUUAGGUAUAUCCUAGGUAAUUUCUCUUAAACAAAACAUUUGUAAUUAAAAAAUUGGAAAUUUAAGUAUUUUCAAUAUAUCUGAAAACUCAUACACAAGAAAUAGAGUUAUGACAGGGGCGGACCCACGGUAGAGUGGAGUGUGGCACGUGCCAUGCACUAAACAAUAUAUCUCUUUCGCCCUUAUUGAACUAAUAGCUGUUAUCAGCUCUUUUGGUUAUGAGACUCACCGCAGUGCCCCACGCUUCACGUGUUCGACCUCUGUCAUAUCAUUUUCUGUUUUCUUUUGGUAAUUAGGCUAAAGAUAAAUAAUUGCUAGUAUUUUAGUUUAAUUCAAAUUUCAAGGGCAAGACCAGAGACAAAACUAAUACUAACACAAUAAUUUUAUUCUAUACAUUUUUUUAUUUUAAUCACUUUUCAAAAAUAUAUAUUCUUUUUUAAUUGUGUUGCAAAUUUUUUUAUGAGUGUUUUCCUUUUCUUUUAGUAUAUAGUUUUUCGAAGAAAAAAAUUGUGCGCUUUAUUUUGUUUUAUUUAUUUAGUAUUUAUUAAUUAUAAUACUUAGAUUAAACUAACAGCUAUAUUUAAUAAGCGUUUGUAAUGAAACUAUAUGUGAAUAUAUAAUUUUAUUUUAACAUUACUCAAAAUAAAUACUUAAUAUUAUAAAAUGCUUAUCUUAUGUUAAUAAUAUUUAAUUUAAAUAAUGCAUUAAAUAAGAUGCAAUAAUGAAUGGUUAAUGUCAAUCAUUUUAAAUUUAUUAUAUAAUAAAUCAUUACAGAAAAAAAAUUAUUAUUAUAUAAUUUAUUAAUUAAAUUAUAUUAAAUAUUUUGUAAAAUAUAAUAUUUAUAUUGUCCCAUCUUAAUUUAUUUUCUAGAUCCGCUACUGGGUAUGAGUCUAUAUGUCUUUGGACGAUAGCUACAAUUGCUGAGUUCAGGACAUAUCGCCUUACAAAUACCAACAGUCCCAAACCUUAUGAAAGAAUCAUUGGACGCAAAUAGUGUACGCAUACAUUGAAUCGAUUCUCUACUUUUGAACGCAUUACAACAGUGUGAAUUGUUCCGUUGGGACACAUUUAUCAAGGGAGCGACGCAAUCGUCAAUGUGUUUGCAUUCUGCUGGCAUUGGGUUAUUUGGCAUAGGGCGUCUACCGCGUCUACCGGCUUUAAUCUGAGCCGGAAAUGAUGUCAAGAGUAGAAAGAAGGCAAUGAGAAUAAACGGAAUAAUCUUCAUUAUAGUAUCUGACCAAAUUCACAGCUAAAACCAGAAUAAACUUAUUCAGUUUGUAGAAAGUAAUCUGUUUUCUUCGUUUUGUUUUAUGUGCUUUAAAUAAAGAAAUUGGAAACUUGAAUUAAUGGUUCUUAAUUACCCAUACCCGGAAAUUAGAAAAGUUGGAAUUGAUUCAUAUAAAGAAGGGAAGGUCGACAACAAAAAAGGGAAGGAUGCUAAUUCUAUUUUUAUUUACAAAACAAACGAUUGACUUGUUCAAUAUCUUCAUCCUAAUUUUAGUCAUUUCUUUGGUUUUGUUGCAUAAUGCAAAACUAGCUUAUGCAACAAACGAUUGGACAACAAACUCACUGUGAGUGGAUCAGUAUCUCUGUUCGAUAACAUCCUGUUUCGAAUUUCCAUUUAACCCACGUUGUUCAGAUUAUAGGUUUUACAUCGAGAUCCGUAUGGGCCUUAGUAAAAUACGGUGAAGAAAUUGAAUCAGCGGUCUAGAAGCCUGAUGCCGUCUCUGUAAUCGUUCACAUCCACCGAACUGUGUCUUUUUCUGCAGUGGUAAUGUGUCUGAAAAUGUGCGGCUUGAUGAACGAGUCUUUCUGAUUAUCAGUGACGGGUGAGUGUCUAUGGAUUGACUUUCCCAUGUUUAAGGCUUCAGUGAAUGUGUCAGUGAUUCAUAUUCAACUUACUUUCUCAAAAACAAUCUAGAAAGCUUCCGUCUGGAUCCCAAAAUUGUUGUCCAUGUGGUGAACAUAUCUCUGUCUCUGCAGAGCAUGAUCAAUAUGCUAAAGCAAGACACAAGGAAGGAUGGUAUAGAAGCGGGGAAUACCCAAAGGUCUCAUUUACAUGCGUUUGGAGAAGAUGUGCGAUCACUGGGUGUUCUACUGAUUUGUAAUGUCAUGAAUAAAUUGUAUUUUUCUUUCUUUUUUUUGUCUGCUUAAGAAUAUAUAUGUACCGUUUGAUUCAACAUAUCUGAUCCAACGUGAAUUGAGUCUUUUAUUAGAUCAUUCGUACUGGUCACAUGUUUUAAUUGCAUCGCUCGAGUUAUUUAGCUCUUUGCAGUUUUGUUUAUAAUAGGAGUAAUGGUGUUGGUGACAUUUGGAGCUUAGGAUCAAGUCGUGAGAAAGUUGUUUUCAAAAACAAAUCGUGAGAGAGAAAAAAAAAAGGGUAUUUGGUUUUCAGACUGAUCAAACUUCAGAGUAUGAACCAAGGGCAAGCCUAUGGAGCAUUCAGCAAUGAAAUACAUAUCAUACUUGCUGAGACAAAAAGUUAAGAAUAUCACAAACAGAUAACUGGUUUUAUGUGUGAGAGAGUUUCUUGAGAAUGAAUGUUAUGCUCAACAACCUAGGCUGUAUCACAGGGAUAGUAAUACGGAUGCUCCAUUCAUAUGCUGAAAUAAAUGUUCAGAUUUAGUUUCUCUGAAGUAUUCUGAAGUUGUUGAAUCAGUUUGUUCCCUUUGUUUUUAUUUGAAAGAAAUAAAUACAUUUUUCCUUUAGUUUAACAAAGUCUCAUUUACACAAAUACCUUUGAAAUCAAUACCCAAAUCGAACCAGCUUAACCCAAACCAAUUUGGUUUUGAUUCAGAGUCGAGUAUAACUUCGGUUCAAUUUAAAAGGUGCUUUUAAACAAAUUCGAUGGUACCGUCAAUCAAGUUCUUGACUUCGCCAAUAAUGUUUGGUAACAAAAAAUUCAACCGAUAAUGUGGAUAUUCAAAAUAUCAAUGAAAAUUAAUGAAAAAAAUAAUAAUUAACAAAAUACUGUUUCAAUCGAUAAACGAAAAACAUGGUACACUGAUAAAUUUCUACGGUUUCAAGUUAGAUAAAUUAAAUAUAUGCAAAAUAUGAUAUAAUUUUAUAAGUAAUAAACUAUUUUUUUAAUUUUUUAUAUAAAUAUAUAGUUUCAUUAAAUCAUAAAUUAAAAUGACUAUAUAAAUUUUAUAUAAACAGAAA